GCAAGAGCUUGAGUACAUACGGCCAUAAUAUACUAGUGCUGAAGAGCUUCCCUGCAUUUUCCUAUUCCAGUCAAGGUCAUUUAGUCACAUAAUUAUUUUAGAAUUAAAAUGGAAAAGUUCAGAAGGCGGCAACCCCUUGAUCUUGAAGUCUGCCAGUUUCUCCAUGAGAGCGGCGUGUGUCCCGUAGCUCACAGAGCCCGCGCAGAUCCACAGGACGAUCAGGCCGAGUGCCCCGUCCAUCUUCAUGUGACCGUGAAGCAGGAAUGACUUCUCCCUGUGAAGAGCAGCUCUGAGAGUCCAGACACACAUUCCAGCUUCAGGGAAAAACAACCGCUUCCGGACUCACACUCACCCGCCAGACAAACACUGACCGCCUGUAAUAACUCUUACUCGUAGUGCUGCGUUCAUACCAGUAAUGAAUAUAUAUGAAAAUAAAUCAAAUAAUUUUUAUUUUUA